rnacentral:rRNA from 1 species
GGACGGAGCGAGGGGCGACCUUGAGCGGAUCCCUCAAAGCCGGUCUCAGUUCGGAUUGCAGUCUGCAACUCGACUGCAUGAAGUUGGAAUCGCUAGUAAUCGUGGAUCAGCCAAGCCGCGGUGAAUACGUUCCCGGGCCUU